AGCCGCGGUAACACCGGCGGCCCGAGUGGUGAUCGUGAUUAUUGGGUCUAAAGGGUCCGUAGCCGGUUUGGUCAGUCCUCCGGGAAAUCUGAUAGCUCAACUAUUAGGCUUUCGGGGGAUACUGCCAGACUUGGGAACCGGGAGAGGUAAGAGGUACUACAGGGGUAGGAGUGAAAUCUUGUAAUCCCUGUGGGACCACCUGUGGCGAAGGCGUCUUACCAGAACGGGUUCGACGGUGAGGGACGAAAGCUGGGGGCACGAACCGGAUUAGAUACCCGGGUAGUCCCAGCCGUAAACGAUGCUCGCUAGGUGUCAGGCAUGGCGCGACCGUGUCUGGUGCCGCAGGGAAGCCGUGAAGCGAGCCACCUGGGAAGUACGGCCGCAAGGCUGAAACUUAAAGGAAUUGGCGGGGGAGCACAACAACGGGUGGAGCCCUGCGGUUUAAUUGGACUCAACGCCGGACAACUCACCGGGGGCGACAGCAAUAUGUAGGCCAAGCUGAAGACUUUGCCUGAAUCGCUGAGAGGUGGUGCAUGG
rnacentral:rRNA from 1 species